AUCGCUAAAACCCCUCUCUUCUCGAUUUAAGCCCUAGUUUUCCACAUUCCCUCACAUUUACACAUUCCAUUACCCAAACUAGGGUUUAUCAUGUAUCUCUACAAUCUCACUCUCCAACAAGCCACCGGAAUCAUCUGCGCAAUCAACGGCAGCUUCUCCGGCGGCAACAAAUCACAAGAAAUCGUCGUCGCACGUGGCAAGGUCCUCGAGCUUUUACGUCCCGACGAAAACGGUAAAAUCCAAUCAAUACUUUCAGUUGAUGUUUUUGGUGCUAUUAGAUCCUUAGCUCAAUUUAGGUUAACUGGUGCUCAAAAGGAUUAUAUUGUUGUCGGUUCGGAUUCGGGUCGGAUCGUUAUUUUAGAAUAUAAUAAAGAAAAAAAUGUGUUUAAUCAAGUUCAUAAAGAAACUUUCGGAAAAUCCGGUAGUCGGCGGAUUGUACCUGGUCAGUAUUUAGCUGUAGAUCCGAAAGGUAGGGCGGUUAUGAUUGGUGCUUGUGAGAAACAGAAACUUGUUUAUGUUUUGAAUAGGGAUAGUGCGGCUAGGUUAACGAUAUCGAGUCCUUUAGAAGCACAUAAGUCUCAUACGAUAACGUAUUCGAUUGUUGGUGUGGAUUGUGGUUUUGAUAAUCCGAUAUUUGCUGCUAUUGAGUUGGAUUAUAGUGAGGCAGAUCAGGAUAGUACAGGGCAGGCUGCGAGUGAGGCUCAAAAGCAGUUGACGUUUUAUGAGUUGGAUUUAGGACUUAAUCAUGUUUCUAGGAAGUGGUCUGAGCAGGUGGAUAAUGGGGCGAAUAUGCUUGUGACGGUUCCAGGUGGUGGUGAUGGGCCGAGUGGGGUGUUGGUUUGUGCGGAGAAUUUUGUUAUUUAUAAGAAUCAGGGGCAUCCGGAUGUUAGGGCGGUUAUUCCUCGACGAGCGGAUUUGCCUGCUGAACGGGGGGUUUUGAUUGUUUCGGCUACUAUGCAUAAACAGAAGUCAAUGUUUUUCUUUUUGUUGCAGACGGAGUAUGGAGAUGUGUUUAAGGUUACGCUUGAUCAUGAUAAUGAGAGGGUUACAGAGUUGAAGAUUAAGUAUUUUGAUACUAUACCUGUGUCGUCUGCUAUGUGUGUUAUGAAGUUGGGGUUUCUGUUUGCGGCUUCUGAGUUUGGGAAUCACGCAUUGUAUCAGUUUCAGGCUAUUGGUGCUGACCCUGAUGUGGAGUCAUCUUCAGCUACGUUGAUGGAAACUGAUGAAGGGUUCCAGCCGGUGUUUUUCAAGCCUAGAGGGUUGAAGAAUCUUGUGAGAAUUGACCAGGUGGAGAGCUUGAUGCCAAUUUUGGACAUGAAAGUUGUGAAUUUGUUUGAGGAAGAGACACCUCAGAUAUUUACACUUUGUGGGCGUGGCCCUCGUUCUUCUCUUAGGAUACUGAGACCGGGGCUUGCUAUCAGUGAAAUGGCAGUAUCACAGCUUCCGGGUGUCCCUAGUGCGGUUUGGACUGUUAAGAGGAACGUUAAUGAUGAAUUUGAUGCUUACAUUGUUGUUUCGUUUGCAAAUGCAACGCUCGUGCUUUCUAUUGGCGAGACUGUGGAAGAAGUUAAUGACAGUGGGUUUCUUGACACCACACCGUCACUUGCUGUUUCAUUGGUUGGUGAUGAUUCUCUUAUGCAAGUACAUCCUAGUGGUAUUAGACAUAUAAGGGAAGAUGGUCGUAUUAAUGAAUGGAGAACUCCUGGUAAAAGAACUAUCGUUAAGGUUGGAUCGAAUCGACUUCAAGUGGUUAUCGCAUUGAGUGGAGGAGAGCUUAUAUACUUUGAGGUAGAUAUGACCGGACAGUUAAUGGAAAUCGAGAAACAUGAAAUGUCAGGUGACGUGGCUUGUUUAGAUAUAGCCCCAGUUCCUGAAGGAAGGCAAAGAUCGCGUUUUCUAGCUGUUGGCUCUUAUGAUAAUACUAUCAGGAUCUUAUCUUUGGAUCCUGAUGACUGUAUGCAGGUUCUUAGCAUGCAAAGUGUAUCCUCACCUCCUGAGUCACUUCUUUUUCUCGAGGUCCAGGCUUCUGUAGGUGGGGAGGAUGGUGCUGACCACCCGGCCAGUCUUUUUCUGAACUCGGGUCUUCAAAGCGGGGUUCUAUUUAGGACCGUUGUGGAUAUGAUUACCGGCCAACUUUCGGAUGCACGGUCACGGUUUUUGGGACUUAGAGCUCCUAAACUGUUCUCCAUACUAGUGAGAGGAAGACGAGCCAUGCUUUGUUUGUCGAGUAGACCGUGGCUUGGUUAUGUUCACCAAGGACAUUUUCUUUUGACCCCCCUGUCUUAUGAAUCUCUUGAAUAUGCAGCCUCGUUUUCAUCUGAUCAGUGUGCUGAAGGUGUGGUUGCUGUUGCUGGGGAUGCUUUAAGAGUUUUCACUAUAGAAAGAUUAGGGGAAACAUUUAAUGAAACUGCUAUACCUUUGCGAUACACACCAAGAAAGUUUGUGUUCCAUCCUAAAAGGAAACUUUUGGUAACAAUCGAGAGUGAUCAGGGCGCGUUUCCAGCUGAGCUGCGUGAAAGCGCUAAAAAGGAGUGCUUCGAGGCAGCAGGACAGGGGGAGAACGGGAAAUUGGAGAUAGAAAAUGGUGGCGAUGAUGAAGACAAAGAUGACCCGCUUUCUGAUGAACAAUAUGGUUACCCAAAAGCUGAGACGGAUAAAUGGGUUUCUUGCAUUCGGGUUCUUGACCCAAAGUCAGCCGAGACGACAUGUCUAUUGGAGCUUCAAGAUAAUGAGGCUGCUUUCAGUAUAUGUACUGUGAACUUCCAUGACAAGGAAUAUGGAACCCUUUUAGCUGUGGGUACAGCAAAAGGUCUCCAGUUUUGGCCUAAAAGAUCCUUGACAGCUGGAUAUAUUCAUAUUUAUCGGUUUGUAAAAGAUGGAAAAUCGCUUGAACUUUUGCACAAAACCCAAGUUGAUGGUGUUCCUCUUGCAUUAUGCCAGUUUCAAGGAAGAUUGCUUGCUGGGAUUGGAUCUACUCUUAGGCUUUAUGAUCUGGGAAAAAAAAGGUUGCUUAGAAAGUGUGAGAAUAAGCUGUUUCCGAAUACAAUCAAUUCCAUCCAUACAUACCGUGAUCGAAUUUAUGUGGGAGACAUUCAAGAGUCAUUUCAUUAUUGCAAGUAUAGAAGGGAUGAAAACCAACUGUAUGUAUUUGCUGAUGACUCUGUUCCAAGAUGGCUUACAGCAGCAUACCAUGUAGACUUUGACACGAUGGCAGGAGCGGAUAAGUUUGGGAACAUAUAUUUUGUGCGGUUGCCACAGGAUGUAUCGGAUGAAAUUGAAGAAGAUCCAACAGGUGGGAAGAUUAAGUGGGAGCAGGGGAAGCUUAAUGGAGCUCCGAAUAAGGUUGAAGAGAUCGUGCAAUUUCAUGUAGGUGAUGUGGUGACAUGCAUGCAAAAAGCAUCUUUAAUUCCUGGUGGUGUGGAGUGUGUUAUGUAUGGGACUGUUAUGGGUAGUUUAGGGGCGUUGCUGGCAUUUAGCUCCCGAGAUGAUGUGGAUUUCUUUAAUCACUUGGAGAUGCACAUGCGACAGGAACAUCCACCAUUGUGUGGAAGAGAUCACAUGGCUUAUAGAUCUGCCUAUUUUCCUGUUAAGGAUGUGAUUGACGGUGACCUGUGUGAACAGUACCCUACAUUGCCUAUUGAUAUGCAGCGGAAAAUUGCAGAGGAAUUGGAUAGGACUCCUGGAGAGAUUCUGAAAAAGCUGGAAGAAGUCAGGAACAAGAUUGUCUAAGAUAAAAGAUGUGCACCUUACUAUUACUUUUAUAUGCGUUUCGAUGUUUAUUUGUCUAAUGACCGUGCUUUGAGGAACGUUGAAAGUCUGGUUCAACUCAUAAACGUUAAAAUUUCCAAGUCAUGCAGGUUAAUCUGUAGGCAUUCAGCUUAUUUUAGCGACCUUCUGUCUUUUAUAUGUUUUGUUUCAGGCAUGCAGAUAACUCUUAAGGAAUUUAGUCGGACUGUUUGUGAUAUCCUCUUUCACUUUAUGUGGUGAGGGAGCAAUGAGAGCUUUGUGUAGAUCUGACUUUUUCUAUUUAUGUUUAUUUGGUAGUUAACUUGUUAUGAACCAAUGCUUUAUCAUUUAACAGAUUAGACCUGAAAGAAAGUUUGUCAAA